rnacentral:rRNA from 1 species
CAGUAGCCGCGGUAAUACGUAGGGUGCAAGCGUUAAUCGGAAUUACUGGGCGUAAAGCGUGCGCAGGCGGUUUUGUAAGACAGAGGUGAAAUCCCCGGGCUCAACCUGGGAACUGCCUUUGUGACUGCAAGGCUAGAGUACGGCAGAGGGGGAUGGAAUUCCGCGUGUAGCAGUGAAAUGCGUAGAUAUGCGGAGGAACACCGAUGGCGAAGGCAAUCCCCUGGGCCUGUACUGACGCUCAUGCACGAAAGCGUGGGGAGCAAACAGGAUUAGAUACCCCUGUAGUCCCUGUCUCUUAUAA